GCUGGGCUUGGUUGCAGGUGCUUAUAGUCCCAGGUACUCAGGAGGCUGAGUCCUAGGCUAUAGUGCAUUAUGCCAACCAGGUGUCUGCACUAAGUUUGGUAUCCAAAUGGUGACCUCCCAGGAGUGGGGGACUACCUCAGAAAUGGAGCAGGUCAAAACUUCUGUGCUGAUCAGUAGUGGGAUCUUGCCUGUGGAUAGCCACUACACUCCAGCU
ensembl:misc_RNA Metazoa_SRP Metazoan signal recognition particle RNA